rnacentral:rRNA from 1 species
GGUUAAGUAACAAAGGGCGCACGGUGGAUGCCUUGGCACUAGGAGCCGAAGAAGGACGUGACGAACGACGAAAUGCGUUGGGGAGUUGUAAGUAAGCUAUGAUCCAGCGAUCCCGGAGUAGCGGCGAGCGAAAUGGGAAGAGCCCAAACCAAUGUGCAUGCACAUUGGGGUUGUAGGACUGCAACGUGGGAGUGAGAUUGAUAGAAGAAUGACAUGGGAAGGUCAGCCAAAGAGAGUGAGAGCCUCGUAUUCGAAAUCGAUUGAACCUCUAGCAGCAUCCUGAGUACGGCGGGACACGAGGAAUCCCGUCGGAAUCCGCCAGGACCAUCUGGCAAGGCUAAAUACUACCUAGUGACCGAUAGUGAACCAGUACCGUGAGGGAAAGGUGAAAAGGACCCCGGGAGGGGAGUGAAAGAGUACCUGAAACCGUGUGCUUACAAGUAGUCAGAGCCCGUUAAGGGGUGAUGGCGUACCUUUUGUAGAAUGGACCGGCGAGUGACGUUACCGUGCGAGGUUAAGCUGAAGAAGCGGAGCCGAAGCGAAAGCGAGUCUUAAUAGGGCGAAAGUACGAUGACGUCGACCCGAAACCAAGUGACCUACCCAUGAGCAGGUUGAAGGUGCGGUAAGACGCACUGGAGGACCGAACCAGGACACGUUGAAAAGUGUUUGGAUGACUUGUGGGUAGCGGAGAAAUUCCAAUCGAACUUGGAGAUAGCUGGUUCUCUCCGAAAUAUAUUUAGGUAUAGCCUCAGAGUGAGAGUCAAGGAGGUAGAGCACUGUUUGGACUAGGGGGGCGCAAGCUUUACCGAAUUCAGAUAAACUCCGAAUGCCAUGUACUCAUCUCUGGGAGUCAGACUGCGAGUGAUAAGAUCCGUAGUCGAAAGGGAAACAGCCCAGACCACCAGCUAAGGUCCCAAAGUAAUUGUUAAGUGGAAAAGGAUGUGGAGUUGCACAGACAGCUAGGAUGUUGGCUUAGAAGCAGCCACCAUUUAAAGAGUGCGUAAUAGCUCACUAGUCGAGUGACUCCGCGCCGAAAAUGUACCGGGGCUAAACAAUACACCGAAGCUGUGGAUUCUAGCGAAGAGCUAGAGUGGUAGGAGAGCGUUCUAUUAGCGGAGAAGUCAUACCGUAAGGAGUGGUGGAGCGAAUAGAAGUGAGAAUGCCGGUAUGAGUAGCGCAAGACGGGUGAGAAUCCCGUCCACCGAAAGACUAAGGUUUCCAGGGGAAGGCUCGUCCGCCCUGGGUUAGUCGGGACCUAAGCAAAAGCCGAUAGGCGUAUGCGAUGGACAACAGGUAGAGAUUCCUGUACUUGGUAAGUAUCGUUUGAACGAAGGAGGGACACAGGAGGCGACUCCACGCAUCCGGAUGGAAGAGGAUGUGCAAGCAACGAGUCUUGAUAAGAGUGAAAUGCUUUUAUCUGGAAGGGUGAGUUGUGACGCGUAGCGAAAUAAAGUAGCGAAGGUGGAUAAUCAAACUGUCGAGAAAAGCUUCUAGUGAGAUACAACCAACCCGUACCGCAAACCGACACAGGUAGUCGAGUGGAGAACACUCAGGUGAUCGAGAGAACUCUCGUUAAGGAACUCGGCAAAAUGACCCCGUAACUUCGGGAGAAGGGGUGCUGAUGGAAACAUCAGCCGCAGUGAAUAGGCCCAGGCGACUGUUUAUCAAAAACACAGGUCUCUGCAAAAUCGAAAGAUGACGUAUAGGGGCUGACGCCUCCUUGUCGGGUAAGUUCCGACCCGCACGAAAGGCGUAACGAUCUGGGCACUGUCUCAACGAGAGACUCGGUGAAAUUAUAGUACCUGUGAAGAUGCAGGUUACCCGCGACAGGACGGAAAGACCCCAUGGAGCUUUACUGUAACUUGAUAUUGAGUGUUUGUGUGGCAUGUACAGGAUAGGUAGGAGCUGAAGAAUCGUGAACGCCAGUUUACGAGGAGGCGCUGGUGGGAUACUACCCUUUCCCUCAGAAUGGUUGGAAAUCAUUCGCAGAGUGCAAAGGCAGAAGGGAGCUUGACUGCGAGACGGACAGGUCGAGCAGGGACGAAAGUCGGGCUUAGUGAUCCGGUGGUACCGCAUGGAAGGGCCAUCGCUCAACGGAUAAAAGCUACCCUGGGGAUAACAGGCUUAUCUCCCCCAAGAGUUCACAUCGACGGGGAGGUUUGGCACCUCGAUGUCGGCUCAUCGCAUCCUGGGGCUGAAGUCGGUCCCAAGGGUUGGGCUGUUCGCCCAUUAAAGCGGUACGCGAGCUGGGUUCAGAACGUCGUGAGACAGUUCGGUCCCUAUCCGUCGCGGGCGUAGGAAAUUUGAGAAGAGCUAUCCUUAGUACGAGAGGACCGGGAUGGACGCACCGCUGGUGUACCAGUUGUUCCGCCAGGAGCAUCGCUGGGUAGCUAUGUGUGGGAAGGAUAAGCGCUGAAAGCAUCUAAGCGCGAAGCCAGCUUCAAGAUGAGAUUUCCCAUUCUUUUAAAGAAGUAAGACCCCUGAGAGACGAACAGGUAGAUAGGCUAGAAGUGGAAGUGUUGUGAGACAUGGAGCGGACUAGUACUAAUCGGUCGAGGACUUAACCAA